AUUCAAUCCAGGCACAAGAAAACUCCAGUGAGCUCCACCACUGAACCAAAUAUCUAUGAAGAGAUGGAGAUGCGGGAGAGACAUCCUGGGCUCGAAGUCCCUUCAUGAUAUUUUUAUAGUACUUUGGAGUCUGAUCCUGAUUACACCAACAUCUCACCUUUGAACAGAGAAACUGCAACAUGUGGCAGAAGUUCUGAGUAGCAUGCAGCUUUAUGUUUACCUGUGCAGAAAUUGCCAAGAGGGGACUUCAGUGACAUCAACCU